GAUGAACGCUGGCGGCGUGCCUAAUACAUGCAAGUCGAGCGAACAGACGAGGAGCUUGCUCCUCUGACGUUAGCGGCGGACGGGUGAGUAACACGUGGAUAACCUACCUAUAAGACUGGGAUAACUUCGGGAAACCGGAGCUAAUACCGGAUAAUAUAUUGAACCGCAUGGUUCAAUAGUGAAAGACGGUUUUGCUGUCACUUAUAGAUGGAUCCGCGCCGCAUUAGCUAGUUGGUAAGGUAACAGCUUACCAAGGCAACGAUGCGUAGCCGACCUGAGAGGGUGAUCGGCCACACUGGAACUGAGACACGGUCCAGACUCCUACGGGAGGCAGCAGUAGGGAAGCUUCCGCAAUGGGCGAAAGCCUGACGGAGCAACGCCGCGUGAGUGAUGAAGUUCUUCGGAUCGUAAAACUCUGUUAUUAGGGAAGAACAAAUGUGUAAGUAACUAUGCACGUCUUGACGGUACCUAAUCAGAAAGCCACGGCUAACUACGUG
rnacentral:rRNA from 1 species